AUGCCCAUGAUGAGGACAAGCAUUGAGUAAAUCCUUGAACCUCCCCCAGCACUGAUAAAAGGUUUCAGUGUCUUUUUGGGAAAAAUUCAUGAUCUGCCUCUUCAGUGCAU